CCAUGUCACAAAGUCUGCUUCUCUCCAGGCGACACGUGUCUUCUGUAAACAAAACUCAGCGUUUCAGUAAGGGGCUAUCUUAAACUCUGCGUUUUAUAGACAUCGAGACCAGCCGCAAAUUAUUUUAGGGUUUGGUGUUUCUUCCACAAUGAAUCGAAGUCUUUUUCUUCUUCGAUCUCUGUAAGGCUGUGUCUAUAUUCCUCUAAAAUGGCUAAUUCAUCAAUCCUUUUUCAGAAUAGAAGUCAGCCCUAUGUUUUUCAACCGUGGAGGUGAGAUUGACAGAAACGUCAAACGCGGUGGAAAGACUUUCUGUCACCGGCUGAUCCGGAAAUCAAGUGAUUGAAUCACGAGCAGGGAGAGAUAGGUUUGGGUUUGAUCUUGGACUCAACGAAGGAUGAUGAACCAGAUCCAUAUACUCGCGGAUAUGGAAGUGAAUAGAUCCUAAAGGUAUUGUUUUGGCUGGUGUUGUUAUUGCAGUUGCUUUGUCGCUGACAAAGAAGAAAAGAAGGAAGGAGCAGAAGAAGAGUAUUGUUAAUGGUAAGAAGAGUCCGUACACAAGGCUAGGUUGCCGUGGCGAUUG